rnacentral:rRNA from 1 species
UACGUAGGUGGCGAGCGUUGUCCGGAUUUACUGGGCGUAAAGAGCGCGCAGGCGGCUGGCCAAGUCCGAUGUGAAAUCUCCCGGCUUAACCGGGAAACUGCAUCGGAAACUGGUCGGCUUGAAGGUGGGAGAGGGUAGCGGAAUUCCCGGUGUAGUGGUGAAAUGCGUAGAUAUCGGGAGGAACACCAGUGGCGAAGGCGGCUACCUGGCCCAUUCUUGACGCUGAGGCGCGAAAGCUAGGGGAGCGAACGGG